rnacentral:rRNA from 1 species
UACGAAGGGGGCUAGCGUUGCUCGGAAUUACUGGGCGUAAAGCGCACGUAGGCGGCUCUUUAAGUCGGGGGUGAAAUCCUGGAGCUCAACUCCAGAACUGCCUUCGAUACUGAAGAGCUUGAGUCCGGGAGAGGUGAGUGGAACUGCGAGUGUAGAGGUGAAAUUCGUAGAUAUUCGCAAGAACACCAGUGGCGAAGGCGGCUCACUGGCCCGGUACUGACGCCUG